rnacentral:lncRNA from 1 species
AUUUCAACCAAUCGCGCAUUAAAACUAAUCAACUUCUUUCAUCAAUACCACCGGAGUCACAUCGCCAAGCACGUGAUCAUAACAACAACAACAUCAGACAAUUACAAUCACCUAACACAUAAUCAUAGCCAUUUCAACAAAAAUAAAAUAAAGAAGAAAGUACGGGAGUAAAGAGAUGGACCUCAAGAGCUUUCGAUUGAUUUUAAUAAGAAGAAUAAGAGUCGCUUCAAGAACCUCGAUAAAUCAAAAUUCAGACUAUGAUCCAACUCCAACCCGGUAACCUUCGAAAUUCCAUCCGAAACCCCGAAACCAAAACAAUAACCAAGUUUCCUAAAACCAGUACGAAAACCCACGAAGAAUACCCAACAGGCCAACACGAGACGCAAAUUCAAACGGAAUAGCGACAAGGAACCUGUU